rnacentral:rRNA from 1 species
AUCCUGGCUCAGGAUGAACGCUAGCUACAGGCUUAACACAUGCAAGUCGAGGGGCAGCGGUGGUGAAGGCUUGCCUUUACCAGCCGGCGACCGGCGCACGGGUGAGUAACACGUAUGCAACCUGCCUGCCACAGCCGGAUAAUCGGGAGAAAUUCCGUCUAAUACGGCAUAAUGCAUCGACGGGACAUCCUGUUGGUGCCAAAGGUUAAUUCCGGUGGCGGAUGGGCAUGCGUCGCAUUAGUUAGUUGGCGGUGUAACGGACCACCAAGACGACGAUGCGUAGGGGUUCUGAGAGGAAGGUCCCCCACACUGGUACUGAGACACGGACCAGACUCCUACGGGAGGCAGCAGUGAGGAAUAUUGGUCAAUGGGCGGGAGCCUGAACCAGCCAAGUCGCGUGAGGGAUGACGGCCCUAUGGGUUGUAAACCUCUUUUGCCGGGGAGCAAAGUGCCGCACGUGUGCGGUUUGGAGAGUACCCGGAGAAAAAGCAUCGGCUAACUCCGUGCCAGCAGCC